rnacentral:lncRNA from 15 species
CCAAGUAUACCCAGUAUAACUAGUAUAACCAGUAUACCCAGUAUAACCAGUAUAAAUAGUAUAACCAGUGUACCCAGUAUAUAACUGGUGCACCCAGUAUUCCCAAUAUACCCAGUAUACCCAGUAUACCUAGUAUAACCAGUGUACCCAGUAUACCCAGUAUAUCCAGUUUAUAACCCGUCUAACUAGUAUAACCAGUGUACCCAGUAUAACUAGUGUACCCAGUAUACCCAGUUUACCCAGUAUAACCAGUGUACCUAGUAUACCCAGUAUAACCAGUAUAUAACCGGUGUACCCAGUAUUCCCAAGAUACCCAGUAUCCCCAGUAUACCUAGUAUACCCAGUACACCUAGUAUACCUAGUAUACCUAGUAUAACCAGUGAACCCAGUAUAACCGGUAUAACCAGUAUAACCAGUGAACCCAGUAUACCCAGUUUAUAACAGGUGUACCCAGUAUAACCAGUAUAAUCUGUGCUGUUUCAGUGUGUGUCUCAGAGUCCGUAGAUGUGUCCCUGCUGCUGCUCAGGGUGCUGAACUCUCUUGGGUUGGAGGAUCUGAAGACCUUCCAGUACCUUCUGAGUCUGCAGUCGGAUCCGGUUCCUGUCAGCCGACUGGAGUCUGCAGACCGAUCCAGAACUGUGGACCUGAUGGUCCAGCAGUACCACGCUGAGGGGGCCCAGGAGAUGGCCCAGAAGAUCCUGAGGAGGAUGAACUACAACCAGCUGGCCGAUCAGCUGCAGAGCAACUUCUGGAUCUGAAACUCUCGAUACAGGUCCUGAUUUCUGCUCUUCCGUGGCCCCUCUGUUGGUCCAGGGCUUCCACCGGAAGAAUCAUAUGUCCACCGUAUGUCCACCGUAUGUCCAUCGUAUGUCCACUGUAUGUCCCCGGAAUGUAUCAUAUGUCCACCGUAUGUCCCCGGGACAUAUCAUGUCCACCGUAUGUCCGCAGGACGUAUCAUAUGUCCACCGUAUGUCCACCGUAUUUCCCCGGGACGUAUUUUAUAUCCACCGUAUGUCCAACGGUACGUAUCUUCUGUCCACCCUAUGUCCACCGUACGUCCCCCGUAUGUCCACCGGGACGUAUCGUAUCCAGAGGAUCAAUAAUUGAUAGUUUGUAACUAAAUCAGAUACUUAAUUACUUUGGGUAAAAUGAAACUAAUUUGGAUGUAAAGUCAUAACUAAAGCAAGCAUGGUUACCAUUAGCAUUAGCUUUCUGGCUAGCACAUCAUAAUAAGCAAGAUUUAACCAUCAGAGUUUAAUUCUUAUAUUUUUUGAUUUAACGACCUCAGAGGGUGUUUAUUAUAUUUAUUCAAUAAUGAAUUACAUUUUAUAUGUGCCUCCUGAUUCAGUCACAUAAUAAACAAUAGUUUGUUGUUGUUAUAUUAUGGUUAUUAUUGUUACUGAAACUGAUCAGACUAUUUCUUUAUGAGCAGUAUGGUCUGACCGGCUCUGUUGGUGCUAUACAAAUAAAAUUUAAUUGAAUUUAAAAGAAUUUUUAAUGGUGAUUAAAUUGAACAUUUUUAAUCUGUUUUUAAAAAAUAAAAAAAAUAAAAACAAGAAGAAGACUUUUAAUUUGGUAAUACACUUUUUUAAUUUUAACAAAAAAAUAUAUCGAGAUCAACAUGAACAGAAACAUCAGAAAAACAUCCAGGAGCCUCGUUUAACAGAAACAUCCUGACAGACAGGACAGUGAAGGCCUCACAGCCAACCGGUAGAAACAGACGGGACAGUGAAGGCCUCACAGCCCACCGGUAUAAGCAGACCAGACAGUGAAGGCCUCACAGCCCACCGGUAGAAACCCACAGGACAGUGAACGCCUCACAGAAACAAACAGGUGGAGGAAGACGUAGAUUGAACCUGUGGAAACACCUGGUGAACGACAGGAAAUCGUAAAAGGACAGUAUCCUGUCUGCUCUUUGUCUGUGUGUCCUGUCGUCCGUCACAGACAGGAAGUCAUACAGUAAGGUUUAAAGACUGCAGCUUUCAGUCCUUCAUCAUGGUCAUCCAUGAUGUCUGACAUCAGAAAAUUAUAACACCAAAUGACACAAUAUUUGCUCGAGGUUCCUACAGGCCAAAUUACUAACCCUUAAAACACCCUAAUGUAUUAUGAUCCUUUAAAUAACCCCAGAAUCUGAACAGGUCAAAACACCUGAAAACAUGAACGUUUUAAAAAAGUAAAUACACCAGAAAGAACAAAUCUGAAAUGAAUUAUUAGCUUCAAUUCAGAUAAAAAUCAUUUUUACUUUAUGUAUUUGAUCCAUCCGGAUAACGGAAGACUGUAAUAAAGUUAGAAUGGUUUAAUGGAUUAUUCACAUUGACAUUGACAAGGUUUUCUUUAAGGGACAUAAAAACCUUAAAACUGACCAAAGAACAUCUGAAAGCCGUCUGUGUUAAGUCACGGUAUAAAUGAAAGACUUUCAUGUUAUUUGGACAAUUUUAAGAGAUUUUGUGCCACUUAAAAAGCCUUUAAGCUGUGCUGAUCAUCCAAUAAAAUAUCUUAAUAUAUCCAUUAAAAUUCCUUCAUUUUAUCAUCAUUAUAAUGGGUUAAUUAAGGGAAUAAAUAAUGGAUUGUAAUAUUUUAAUGGAUUACCUACACAGUUUAAGUGGCUUUUAAGGAAAAUCCCUUAAAAACUAAAUUCACCAUAAAUUUCGGGUUAAAUUAAGGCUAUAAUAAUAUUAAUAAUAAUUUUAAGGGUUUUAAAAAUAGUAAUGAUCUAUGAUCUAUACAUGGAUUAAGGGGUGAAAAGAUCAAAUAAAUUCCUGCAUUCAUACCUUUUAAGGAGGCUUUAUAAUUAAGUGAUGGGUUUUAUCUUAUUUCUUAUUUUAACUUAAACUGUUCAAAUAAUCCAUUAUAUGUGAUGACCCAUUCAUCGAUUUUUUAAUCAGACCUUGAAAUCCCAUUAAGAUACUAAUCAUUUCAUUAUUCAUGGACUGUAAGGUAAGAGAGUUUCACAGUGACUGGAGCUAAAAACCUUAAAAGGACCUUAAAUGUUUGAUUUAAGGUGAAAGUUCAGGGAUUCUCUGCUAGUUUGUAAAAGAAACAGUUUUGAUAAACACCUGAAUUUACUGACAGGUGAAGGUGCCUUUAAGGAAACUCCGUAAACUUGAAGCUGCUCUGAUUUUUCUCUACAUGCAAACAAACUAAUUAUUGCAUCAGCAGCAACGUUUCUGUUGAACACCAUCAGACAAACUCCGAUUGGUGGUGUGUUCACUUCCUUUAGGUUUUGUUUUUUUAUCCUCUGAGGCUCCUGCAGAGCUGCUGCAUUCAGCCUCACAGGAAGUCAUGAAUCUGCACCACAAAAAAAGGUUCCUGAAACCAAGUCCACACCCUGCGGCCAGUUUAAGCAGUCUGAGGACGAAACGGUCUGAAGAUUUGAGAACCAAAAAGACAGAAACUGGAUCAACCAGCUUUCAUCAACCAAAAAGUUUCAUGUGUUAGAUCUGGAGUACCACAGGGCUCAAUGUUGAGUCCUCUGUUGCUCCUGAUAUCAUAUUUUACUUCCUGUCUGUGGCCCAGUAAGUCUGGGACAAGAGUCCCUUAAAAUCCCUUUAAUUAACCCUUAAUGUACACCUGCAAAUACCUUAAUCUAAAUCAGUGUCAAUUAUAAAAUCAAUCAUUAAUCAAAACUAAUCCAUGAGUUUCCCUUAAUUUGUGAAAGAUUUGACAAAUCCAUCAACGAGUUUAAGGAGUAAUUAAGGACAGCUGUUAAUUAAUGAGAUUUUAAAUGAAUUCUUAUUCAGUGUUCAGAUAUUUAACAGGUUUACCAACAAUAGAUCAAUUAUACUAAUGUAAUAUAUUAAGGUUUAGAUUUUCACCCAAAUUUGCGGUUAUUAAAUGAACUGAUGGAUGAUCAUACAUGAAGACAUCAUCUGCUCCAUGUAAGACUUAAUCAAUAAAACAAAGAUCUAUAUGAUGUAUAAACGAGGCUACAAAUCAACCUGCUUGUUAAUUUAAGGUUUUCCUUGUUAAUUUUCACAUUAAAUCCAAAUCUGAGAAAAACCCUGAAUUUGCAUGUGAUUUAAAUAAAUAAUAAUAAUAAGAAAUAAUAAUUUAAUUAAAGGUAAAAAUUACUCAUUUGUUUAUGCAUUAUGCAUGCAAUCGUUAAAAAAAACUCUUAAUAUAUUACAUUCCAUGAAUUCAUCCACAAUGUGGGUAAAUCUCAUCAACACAUAUAUUGUGAUUUUAUUGAUAAUAUCUAAAUAACUGCUCUGUUGAGAUAUAUAUGUGUAUAAUAUAUAAUAAUAAUAAUAAUAAUAAUAAUAAUAAUAAUAAUAAUAAUAAUAAUAAUGAUAAUAAUAAUAAUGUGGCCACAGAUUGGAAGGAGCCCGGAAGGAGCCCGAAAACAGAAACAUAAAAUAAAAUCUUCAAAACUCAAUAAUGAAUAAAAAUAGAAAUAAUUACGAGCUUUGGCAUUUAAAAAUAAAUGAAUUAAUCAUUAUUUUCCACUCUCAGCAGUUUAAAAGGGCUGCCAUGUGCAGAGUCC